AUAUCUUCGAUAUAAACAAUCUUCCCCUCCUUGUAGUAGGGAACCAAGCAAUCCAAGAACUUCGGAAACAAGUGCAAGUAGUCGCUCUGAAGGAAACCCUGCAUCGUUAUGCGCUUUGUUAUGAGACUGAACAGGUUACAUAUCCCUUUGGUAUCGGUUAUCGAAUGCUGGGACACCAUUCCACAAACAGCAAUUCGACCAUGUACCCUCAUGUUGAGAAGGACCGCUUCGAG
rnacentral:misc_RNA from 1 species